AACGAACGCUGGCGGCAGGCUUAACACAUGCAAGUCGAACGAUGUAGCAAUACAUAGUGGCGCACGGGUGAGUAACGCGUGGGAAUAUACCUUAUAGUGGGGAAUAACUUUGGGAAACUAAAGCUAAUACCGCAUACGCCCGAGAGGGGAAAGAUUUAUCGCUAUAAGAUUAGCCCGCGUGAGAUUAGGUAGUUGGUGGGGUAAUGGCCUACCAAGCCUACGAUCUCUAGCUGGUCUGAGAGGAUGAUCAGCCACACUGGAACUGAGACACGGACCAGACUCCUACGGGAGGCAGCAGUGGUGAAUAUUGGGCAAUGGAGGAAACUCUGACCCAGCCAUGCCGCGUUAAUGAUGAAGGCCUUAGGGUUGUAAAGUUCUUUCGCCGAUGAAGAUAAUGGCGGUAGUCGGAGAAGAAGCCCCGGCUAACUUCGUGCCAGCAGCCGCCGUAA
rnacentral:rRNA from 1 species